GUGGAAUCCAAUAGCAACAAUAGAACAACAAUGACGACCAAGAUAUUUUCCCUCCUUAUGCUCCAUGCUCUUUCUGCAUGUGUUGCUAAUGCGACCAUUUUCCCUCAACGCUCACAAGCUCCUAUAGCUGCCCUUCUUCACCCAUACCUCCCAUCAAUGAUAGAUUCAGUAUGUGAAAACCCAGCUCUUCAACCCUAUAGGCUCCAACAAGCAAAUGCAGCAAGCAACUUACCUUUAUCACCCUUGUUGUUUCAACAAUCGCCAUCCCUAUCUUUGGUGCAGUUAUUGGUACAAACCAUCGGGGCACAACAGCUGUAGCAACUCUUGCUACUUGUGAUCAACCAAGUAGCUAUGGCAAACCUUUCUCCCUACUCUCAGCAACAACAGUUUCUUCCAUUCAACCAACUGCCUACACUGAAACCUUUUGCUUAUUUGCAGCAUCAACAACUAUUACCAUUCAGCCAGCUAGCUACUGCCUACUCUCAGCUACGACAACUUCUUCCAUUUAACCAAUUGGCCGCACUGAACCUCGCUGCUUAUUUGCAGCAGCAAAUACUACUACCUUUUAGCCAGCUAGCUGCAGCAAGCCAUGCUUCCUUCUUGACAUAGCAACAGUUGCUGCCAUUCUACCAGCUAUUUGCGGCUAACCACGCAACCCUCUUAUAACUUCAACAGUUGCUGCCCUUUGUCCAACUUGCUUUGACAAACCCAGCAACCUCCUACCAACAACACAUCAUUCGUGGUGCCCUCUUUUAGAUUGCUUAUUAGCUGUAAUUCACUAAUGAAGUUUUUU
rnacentral:misc_RNA from 1 species